rnacentral:rRNA from 1 species
GACGAACGCUGGCGGCGUGCCUAAUACAUGCAAGUAGAACGCUGAAGGAGGAGCUUGCUCUUCUGGAUGAGUUGCGAACGGGUGAGUAACGCGUAGGUAACCUGCCUGGUAGCGGGGGAUAACUAUUGGAAACGAUAGCUAAUACCGCAUAAUAGUAGAUGUUGCAUGACAUUUGCUUAAAGGUGCAAUUGCAUCACUACCAGAUGGACCUGCGUUGUAUUAGCUAGUUGGUGGGGUAACGGCUCACCAAGGCGACGAUACAUAGCCGACCUGAGAGGGUGAUCGGCCACACUGGGACUGAGACACGGCCCAGACUCCUACGGGAGGCAGCAGUAGGGAAUCUUCGGCAAUGGACGAAAGUCUGACCGAGCAACGCCGCGUGAGUGAAGAAGGUUUUCGGAUCGUAAAGCUCUGUUGUAAGAGAAGAACGAGUGUGAGAGUGGAAAAGUUCACCACUG